GAUGAACGCUAGCUACAGGCUUAACACAUGCAAGUCGCGGGGCAGCAUGGGGGUUGCUUGCAAUCCUCGAUGGCGACCGGCGCACGGGUGAGUAACGCGUAUCCAACCUGCCCUUCACCACGGGAUAACCCGGCGAAAGUCGGACUAAUACCGUAUGUUGUCCAUUGACGGCAUCCGAUUUGGACGAAAGGUUUGGCGGUGAAGGAUGGGGAUGCGUCCGAUUAGCUGGACGGCGGGGUGACGGCCCACCGUGGCGACGAUCGGUAGGGGUUCUGAGAGGAAGGUCCCCCACACUGGAACUGAGACACGGUCCAGACUCCUACGGGAGGCAGCAGUGAGGAAUAUUGGUCAAUGGGCGUAAGCCUGAACCAGCCAAGUAGCGUGCAGGAGGACGGCCCUAUGGGUUGUAAACUGCUUUUAUGCGGGGAUAAAGUGGCCCACGUGUGGGUUUUUGCAGGUACCGCAUGAAUAAGGACCGGCUAAUUCCGUG
rnacentral:rRNA from 1 species